CGUAAUGUUAUUUCAAAUUAGAAUGAUGUAACGUUUUGGCGGUUUUCCGUGGGGGACAACAUUUCCCAUAAUGCAUUGUAUUCUUGCCCGGGAAGUUGACGGUGGCAGUUCUAGCUCCAUGCAUUUGAACUUUCUACUAAAACUUUCCACUGGUUGUCGUAUUCGCCGGUAAUGUACGUGCGUAUUAUAUCAGACUGCAAAGAGUGCUACAGAGAGUCAACAUUUCACCAGUUGUCAGUGGGAACAGCAUGAUGUAAAUACAAGACGGGCCCUCGUCCUUCGUGCACUUCCUGUGUACCUGCGUGAAGAUGCCUCCACGUUAUUCAGGACUUGUGAUUCAGCAGAUGGUCCAGACCUCACUGACACUCCUGUGGCUCUGCUGACAGUUGUCACGGAUGACACUACUGAUUCGGCCCUCUUCAGUCCCGAAAGCAUCUGCAUUGUCGUUGAGGAUGAAAUACUUGUGAAUGGUCCCACAAAUCUGGCUGAGUCAUUUCUCCUGCUCUUUGGGUACAUCUAUGCAUUAGACCUACAAUACCCAAAGAAACUUGAGCUUACAUUCACAUUUAUCCAAAAGGUUGUGAUGUGCCUUGAGGACAACAAACCACUGAAAGGGCGUCUACUGAUGCUGAAGAAUGAUUUUUUCAAUGAGUGAAUCACUCAGAAUGGACUACUUGUUAAGCUGAGUAUUGAGGAAGCUUUUUUGUUUGUUUUUUUCCUAAUCAUUUGCCUCUUCUACCUCACAUUUAAGAUGAAUGACUGUUCAGUUCACUAUUCAUGUUUAAUGUUCUGUUGCCUAAUACGUAAAUGCACUGCCUUGAUGUUUGUUCCCUAUAAGUACAGCAGUGGAAACCAGUACUGUUUUUUUUAUGUAUUUUUAAAAAAGAAAGUGAGCUGCAGCUGUCAAGGUACAGUAAGUGUUAAAUGCAUCAAUGUUCUAAUAGCUGCAAUUGCUGUUAAUACUGAAAAUGUUAUUGAAUUUUAGAAUUGAGAUGGAGACCCUUGGAGUCUUUUUCUCUUGUUUUAUUUAUGAAGCACUUUUUUAUGA